rnacentral:rRNA from 1 species
UGGGGAAUAUUGCACAAUGGGGGAAACCCUGAUGCAGCGACGCCGCGUGAAGGAAGAAGUAUCUCGGUAUGUAAACUUCUAUCAGCAGGGAAGAUAAUGACGGUACCUGACUAAGAAGCAUCGGCUAACUCCGUGCCAGCAGCCGCGGUAAUACGGAGGAUGCGAGCGUUAUCCGGAUUUAUUGGGUUUAAAGGGUGCGCAGGCGGCGCGCCAAGUCAGCGGUCAAAGUUCCGGGCUCAACCCGGUGUCGCCGUUGAAACUGGCGUGCUCGAGUGCGUGCGAGGAAGGCGGAAUGCGUUGUGUAGCGGUGAAAUGCAUAGAUAUGACGCAGAACUCCGAUUGCGAAGGCAGCUUUCCAGCGCGCUACUGACGCUGAGGCACGAAAGCGUGGGGAUCGAACAGGAUUAGAUACCCUGGUAGU